CAGCUGCCUCGCGGCCAGCCAAGCACUGAGAGGAGCUGCAGGAGACUGCAGAGAGGCGGAGGAGGAUGACAGGGAAGGUGAGGGAAAGCGGCGGCGGCAGCAGCAGUAGCAGCAGCAGCAGCAAGGGGAAGGAGUGUCUCUGCCUCCACUGGGAAGCGACUCUCUGUGAAAUCAGCAAAGAUCUUGUAUCUGAUGUGGUGGCGCCCUAGAGAUUUGCUGCCCUCACCUUCCUCAUUGUCCUCCUCCACCUCUCUGCAGUCCUCCUGCAGCUCCUCUCAGUGUCUGCCAGCCGCAAGGCAGCC